rnacentral:rRNA from 1 species
AGGAUACAACUCCGGUUGAUCCUGCCGGCGACUACUGCUAUCAGGUUCCGACUAAGCCAUGCGAGUCAAAGGGUCGUAAGACACUGGCGUACUGCUCAGUAACACGCGGACAAUCUAAACCCCAGGCGGGGUAUAACCUCGGGAAACUGAGGGUAAUUCCCCAUAGUUAUCAUAUAGCUGGAAUGCUUUGAUGAUGAAAGUUCCGACGCCUGAGGAUGAGUCUGCGGCCUAGUCAGGUA